CUAACCACACAGACGGGAUGUGUUAAGCACCUAAAUAAAAGCACACCCUAGGCCUACUGCCCGAUAAAUCGUGAGCUGAGACGGAUUAAGGUUUCUGUAAACCGAGUUUUUUUUAUUAUUAUUAUUUUUGUUUACCGGGGAUUUUGACGCUAAAUUAAAUUUGCUGUAACGUUUAAAGGUUUCUGGUGGGUGAAUCCUGCAGUCAGAGGUGGUAAGGACACCGUCUGACCAAGGGAACACGAGGAUCCUGUUAAUUAUAAAGGUGACGUAACACAAGGGAACCUGAUUGUGCAAACCUACAGGGAUGUUAUCAACCGGCUGAGUAAUCUUCUGAGUUAUCGGAAGAAAGCUUUCACACACUCUCGCAUUAGAACAUUAAAAGAGAAAAAUACUAGAGAAACAGAAUGACGGUCUUGUGAACUAACAACACAACCAGCCCUCACCAUGCCCCACCAACCACCUGAAGCCAUUAACAAUAAAUACAUAAAUACUUUUUAAAAACUGAUCAAGGCUCCAGCUCCGACAGAGAUUUGUUUGUUUUUCUAAACACUCGUCUGUAUCGCGGUGUCCUAGUAGCUUUGUUGGCACUUCCUCCCAUCUUGUAUGCGUAAGUGGAGGUCAAAAAUUAACUCAGCUGACCUGAGCUGAACUGCAAUGCAUGAAUAGAUUUCUAUAUUGACACACAAGCCUGACAUGUCUUCCUUUCUGAAACAUCAUGAACAUAUUUGUUUCUGUUGUGGUGAAAGCAGCAACUUGGAAGGACACAGGGAAAUUAGAUGCUUUAAGGUUAAAUCAAGAGUUUGUAGCUGUCUCAUAUAAAUAUAAUAAACAUAUUUAUAUAGACUUAUUACUCAUGUUUUGAGCUUUAGAGCCUCUUACCACUCUAAAAAAGAGCUCAAUACUAAAAGUUGAAAACUGUUCUGUAAAAAUAAACGAAUAAACAGUUAUAUUUAUAUUUUUAUUAAAUACUGCAUGCACUAAGUACUAAAAUCUGACAAGCAGUCGCGAGACUACGUCUGUCUGAAUGAGUGUCUUGGUGUAACCAGAAGCACACGGGUAAGUUCAUUCAGGGAUACAGGCUGUACAGUCAUCAGGAAGUGAAACAGAACAGAAUGUGCUGUACUAAUCUGAUUGAAAAACACCGCCCUGAGUGGAGGCAUGAAAAAAAAAAAGAUGUUUCAUUUAAACAGCUAAAAGGAGAAUCCUAUGGCAUCAGGAGCUUAACUCUUCAUUUGGUGAUACAAAAGACAAGUGGUGAGGAUAAGGUUAGAAAAGCAGUCACAAACAUGCACACUGCGGCUAAAAUAAAGCUGGGCAGCAUAAUGCUCUUUGUUUGUGUUCUAGGCAUCCGUGUUACGUACAUGGGAGUAAUCUCCUGAGUGAUCCCUUUUAUCCCUGAACUUUUGCCCCCUGAAGCAGGAGUUCUUUACUGCUGUGUCUGCCAUGGACCCCAAAAUAAAUGAUUCCUCUCUUCUGCUGAUGAAGAAAAUACAGUGACUAACAGGGACAGACCUUUUUUUUUUGGUUCAUUUCAACUUAAACCUUAAAGGACUAUAUUUUGUUAUUUUUCAAAAUUCUGUGCUCAUUUUCUUUCCUUAGAUAAUUAGCCAUGAUGAGUUUACUAAACAGAUAAAGUUGUCAGUAGUGAAAGAAGUAUUCCGAUGAGAAGUUACUCAUCUGUAUGUUUUGUUUCCCUCUGAAAUGUAGCAAAGUAGACGUACUGUAUGAAGUGGCAGAAAAUUGGAUUAUUCAUUUGGAGAGGUCAAAAGCUUAGCAGAGGAGGUUUUUUUAGACAUUAAAAUGAACUGUAUUCAUUUAUGAAUAUAAUUAGCCUUUAUAUCUAAUUGUAGGUGCUUUUAUGUAAGUUUUCCUCUGCAUCAAGUUUGGUUAUUUAGUAGCCUGUGCACUGGAUUACUCUCAUGCCUGUUCUAGUCCUGGAACAAUCUUCAGGCCAAGCUCAAACUUGAGACCCUUAUCUUUUUAAAUGAUUUUAAACUUAGAAUAAGAUAAGUGGUCACUGCUAACAAUUGCUUAAUUUAACUAACAAACACCUGAUUACAUAUUGCUGCCUUGUUAAUGCACUGUAUUAUGUAAUGUAUUUUGUUUAUUGUUGCUGUUGUGAUCUGUUGUUGCAUUGGAUGCUGCUAUGUGACCUUGUCCUGGCUAUAGUCUCACUUGCAAAAUGGGUUUUAAUCUCAAUGUGACUUCCUAGUUAAAUAAAGGUUAAAAAGAACACAGUAAGAUUAAAAGAGUGUCAAGA